UAGGGANUCUUCGGCAAUGGGGGCAACCCUGACCGAGCAACGCCGCGUGAGUGAAGAAGGUUUUCGGAUCGUAAAGCUCUGUUGUAAGUCAAGAACGAGUAUGAGAGUGGAAAGUUCACACUGUGACGGUAGCUUACCAGAAAGGGACGGCUAACUACGUGCCAGCAGCCGCGGUAAUACGUAGGUCCCGAGCGUUGUCCGGAUUUAUUGGGCGUAAAGCGAGCGCAGGCGGUUUGAUAAGUCUGAAGUUAAAGGCUGUGGCUCAACCAUAGUUCGCUUUGGAAACUGUCAAACUUGAGUGCAGAAGGGGAGAGUGGAAUUCCAUGUGUAGCGGUGAAAUGCGUAGAUAUAUGGAGGAACACCGGUGGCGAAAGCGGCUCUCUGGUCUGUAACUGACGCUGAGGCUCGAAAGCGUGGGGAGCGAACAGGAUUAGAUACCCUGGUAGUCCACGCCGUNNCGAUGAGUGCUAGGUGUUGGAUCCUUUCCGGGAUUCAGUGCCGCAGCUAACGCAUUAAGCACUCCGCCUGGGGAGUACGACCGCAAGGUUG
rnacentral:rRNA from 1 species